UACGUAGGGGGCAAGCGUUGUUCGGAAUGACUGGGCGUAAAGCGCGCGUAGGCGGAUCAGGAAGUUUGGGGGGUGAAAUCCCGGGGCUCAACCCCGGAAUGGCCUUCAAAACUCCUGGUCUUUGAGUUCGAGAGAGGUGAGUGGAAUUCCGAGUGUAGAGGUGAAAUUCGUAGAUAUUCGGAGGAACACCAGUGGCGAAGGCGGCUCACUGGCUCGACACUGACGCUGAGGUGCGAAAGCGUGGGGAGCAAACAGG
rnacentral:rRNA from 1 species